rnacentral:rRNA from 1 species
CCUACGGGCGGCAGCAGUCGAGAAUCAUUCACAAUGGGGGAAACUCUGAUGGUGCGACGCCGUGUGGGGGAAUGAAGGUCUUCGGAUUGUAAACCCCUGUCAUGUGGGAGCAAAUUAAAAAGAUAGUACCACAAGAGGAAGAGACGGCUAACUCUGUGCCAGCAGCCGCGGUAAUACAGAGGUCUCAAGCGUUGUUCGGAAUCACUGGGCGUAAAGCGUGCGUAGGCUGUUUCGUAAGUCGUGUGUGAAAGGCGCGGGCUCAACCCGCGGACUGCACAUGAUACUGCGAGACUAGAGUAAUGGAGGGGGAACCGGAAUUCUCGGUGUAGCAGUGAAAUGCGUAGAUAUCGAGAGGAACACUCGUGGCGAAGGCGGGUUCCUGGACAUUAACUGACGCUGAGGCACGAAGGCCAGGGGAGCGAAAGGGAUUAGAUACCCCAGUAGUC